UACGGAGGGUCCAAGCGUUAAUCGGAAUUACUGGGCGUAAAGCGCGCGUAGGCGGUUGCUUAAGUGGGAUGUGAAAUACCUGGGCUUAACCUGGGAAUUGCGUUCCAAACUGGGCAGCUAGAGUACAGUAGAGGGUGGUGGAAUUUCCAGUGUAGCGGUGAAAUGCGUAGAGAUUGGAAGGAACAUCAGUGGCGAAGGCGACCACCUGGACUGAUACUGACGCUGAGGUGCGAAAGCGUGGGGAGCAAACAGG
rnacentral:rRNA from 1 species